CGUCCCUCUAACCUAAACACACUCGGCCGUCGUCAGGCUCACUUACAGAUAUGAUAAACACAGUUUGGAGGCGGGAGCAGCCGAGGAGCGAAAACGCUUCAUUCUCCUUUGAAGAGGGAGUGUCCUCAUCAUCCGUUCUUCCAUCGGUGCUCAGAGUCCAGGAGGGCGGACGGCGUCUCUCCUCCCAUCAGCCCGUCUGUUCUUCGUGGUCGUCACGGCGAUGAGGUUCCUUUCCUCUGUUUCAGCAGCUUACAGCAGGUGUGGGACCUGCAGAUGCCCGCUGAUGUUGUCUUUGCCCCCCUGAGGUUCUCACUCCUCUGCUGUGGCGGGACAGCCCCCCCACAUCCUGACCGCGCCACACCGCCAGCAAACCGAGCGGGGGCCUGGAUUCCUCCGUCAGGCGUGCAACCUGCACCCAUCCAGGAACUCGCCGUCAACGGGGGGAAGAUUUAUGAAGAGCUGCUCCCUGGGGGGGUCAGUCUCCUGCAGCUCCUUUUCAAACAAUAACCUCCACAUCGGCGCGACUCCUCAGGGACGCGGAGCACAUCUGUUUGUCCGAGCAGCUGCUGCUCCUCCGCAGGCCGGAGCGGCGAGGAAGGGCGUCGACCCGGCAGCCACGGCCCAGUAAAAACACCCCCCCGACACGCUCAGGAAGCGGGGGUCCACCCUUAUCUCAACCUUUCACAGUGUGGUUUCCACGGAGGUCUGAACGCAGACCGAGCGGGCUGGAGAGGUCACGAACCGCCAAAAAUAAACCCGACCAGCAGACAAUCGCAUGAGGUCAGAGGUCGAAAGGUUCUGCUCCUCCGUUAUCACUUUUGGACAGAGCACGAGUCUGUCUCUGUCGGCGCCCAACAAGGUGGACUUUACAGCAUCAGUGGUUUCAGAGUUUGGAUCCCCGAUGCUGGUCGAUCUCUGUCUUUACUUCCUGCUUCCUCAGGAGAACUUCCUGUAUCAUCCAAUGGACUCAUCUACUGAUUUGAUGUUUUACAUUUAAAAUGUUUUCUUUUUCUUUUAGAAAUUGUUGCUAAUUUGAGGUAUUUUUGUUUGUUUUUGCAGCACUUGUUAGAGAUCAAAUACAUUUAAAUGUUUUAUUUAGCCUUGAAUUUGAUUAGAAACCUUGUUGGAGAAGAGGCGGAGCCAAGCACUGAUCAAAAAGUGACCUCUGUUCGAGAUGAAGGAUCUUCUGUUGAAUGACCCCCGCUGGGCUACUGUCAUAUUGUUCCCAAAUUCAUUCAUUUUUACUUUAUUAAUUAUUUGUUGCAGUUUAUUAUUUUUACUUAAUUGUUAAAAUUGGAAGAACAUUUGAUCAAUUUGUUAUGUUUUUUGUUUUCUAAAUGAAAUGGCUUCCCUAUUAGUUACUUUAUUAAAAACAGCUGCAUUGUU